UACGAAGGGGGCUAGCGUUGCUCGGAAUCACUGGGCGUAAAGCGCACGUAGGCGGCUUUCUAAGUCAGGGGUGAAAUCCUGGAGCUCAACUCCAGAACUGCCUUUGAUACUGGGAAGCUCGAGUCCGGAAGAGGUGAGUGGAACUCCGAGUGUAGAGGUGAAAUUCGUAGAUAUUCGGCGGAACACCAGUGGCGAAGGCGACUCACUGGCCCGAUACUGACGCUGAGGCGCGAAAGCGUGGGGAGCAAACAGG
rnacentral:rRNA from 1 species